rnacentral:rRNA from 1 species
CCUACGGGAGGCUGCAGUGAGGAAUAUUGGUCAAUGGACGAGAGUCUGAACCAGCCAAGUAGCGUGAAGGAUGACUGCCCUAUGGGUUGUAAACUUCUUUUAUAUGGGAAUAAAACAGGGUAUGCAUACCCUCUUGUAUGUACCAUAUGAAUAAGGAUCGGCUAACUCCGUGCCAGCAGCCGCGGUAAUACGGAGGAUCCGAGCGUUAUCCGGAUUUAUUGGGUUUAAAGGGAGCGUAGGUGGAUUGUUAAGUCAGUUGUGAAAGUUUGCGGCGCAACCGUGGAAUUGCAGUUGAAACUGGAGGCCUUGAGUGCACACAGGGAUGCCGGAAUUCAUGGUGUAGCGGUGAAAUGCUUAGAUAUCAUGAAGAACUCCGAUCGCGAAGGCAAGUGUCCGGGGUGCAACUGACGCUGAGGCUCGAAAGUGCGGGUAUCAAACAGGAUUAGAUACCCCAGUAGUC